rnacentral:rRNA from 1 species
UACGUAGGGUGCAAGCGUUGUCCGGAAUUAUUGGGCGUAAAGAGCUCGUAGGCGGUUGUCGCGUCUGCUGUGAAAAUCCAGGGCUUAACCCUGGACCUGCAGUGGGUACGGGCAGACUAGAGUGCGGUAGGGGAGAUCGGAAUUCCUGGUGUAGCGGUGAAAUGCGCAGGAUAUCAGGAGGAACACCGGUGGCGAAGGCGGAUCUCUGGGCCGUAACUGACGCUGGACGG